rnacentral:lncRNA from 1 species
AUGAAGGACAAACAGAAGAGGAAGAAGGAGCGCACGUGGGCCGAGGCCGCGCGCCUGGUACUGGAAAACUAUUCGGAUGCUCCAAUGACACCCAAACAGAUUCUGCAGGUCAUAGAGGCAGAAGGACUAAAGGAAAUGAGCAGUGGGACAUCCCCUCUCGCAUGUCUUAAUGCCAUGCUACAUUCCAAUUCCAGAGGAGGAGAGGGGUUAUUUUAUAAACUACCUGGCCGAAUCAGCCUUUUUACACUCAAGAAGGAUGCCCUGCAGUGGUCUCGCAGUCCAGCUGUGGUGGAGGGAGAGGAGCCAGAGGACACAGCUGAUGUGGAGAGCUGUGGGUCUAAUGAAGCCAGCACUGUGAGUGGUGAAAACGAUGUUUCUCUCGAUGAAACAUCUUCGAAUGCUUCCUGUUCUACGGAAUCUCAGAGUCGGCCUCUUUCCAACCCCAGGGACAGCUACAGAGCUUCCUCACAGGCAAACAAGCAGAAGAAAAAGACAGGGGUGAUGCUGCCUCGAGUUGUCCUGACUCCUCUGAAGGUAAACGGGGCCCACGUGGAAUCAGCAUCAGGGUUCUCGGGCCGCCACGCCGAUGGCGAGAGCGGCAGCCCGUCCAGCAGCAGCGGCGGCUCUCCGGCCCUGGGCAGCGCUGCUAUCCGUGGCCAGGCCGAGCUCGCCCGGGACCCUGCCCCGCUCCUAAGAGGCUUCCGGAAGCCGGCCACAGGUCAAAUGAAGCGCAACAGAGGGGAAGAGAUAGAUUUUGAGACGCCUGGGUCCAUUCUUGUCAACACCAACCUCCGGGCCCUGAUCAACUCGCGGACCUUCCAUGCCCUGCCGUCCCACUUCCAGCAGCAGCUCCUGUUCCUCCUGCCCGAAGUAGACAGACAGGUGGGGACUGAUGGCCUGUUACGUCUCAGCAGUAGUGCGCUGAACAAUGAGUUUUUCACCCACGCAGCUCAGAGCUGGCGGGAACGCCUGGCUGAUGGUGAAUUCACUCAUGAGAUGCAGGUCAGGAUACGACAAGAAAUGGAGAAGGAAAAGAAAGUGGAACAAUGGAAAGAAAAGUUUUUCGAAGACUACUAUGGACAGAAGUUGGGUUUAACCAAAGAAGAGUCAUUGCAGCAGAAUGUGGGCCAGGAGGAGGCUGAAAUCAAGAGUGACCUGCGUGUCUCAGAAUCAACACGACCACAGCGUGGCCCAGCCACCCGGCAGCGAGAUGGGCAUUUCAAGAAACGCUCUCGGCCAGAUCUUCGAACCAGAGCCCGAAGGAAUCUGUACAAAAGACAGGAGCCAGAACAAGCAGAGAUCGCUAAAGACACACAGUCCGUGGCACUAGACAUCCCCCUCCACAAGGACGGGGAGGCUAAGACCGACGCAACAGGGGUGGGCAGCCCCCACCCACCUGGCACGUCCUCCGCAGCAUCCAACCCAGAGAGUCCCGAAUUCCCAGCGGAAACUGUGUCCUCCCGGCUCCAGCCCAGUCCCAAUGACCCAGCAUGUGUCUCUGCGUCUCCAGACAGAAUUCCCAGCUUGCUGCAGGAGACCGUGGAUCAGGAACCCAAGGAUCAGAAGAGGAAAUCCUUUGAGCAGGCGACCUCUGCCUCCUUUCCCGAAAAGAAGCCCCGGCUUGAAGAUCGUCAGUCCUUUCGUAACACAAUUGAAAGUGUUCACCCCGAAAAGCCACAGCCCACCAAAGAGGAGCCCAAAGUCCCGCCCAUCCGGAUUCAACUUUCACGUAUCAAACCACCCUGGGUGGUUAAAGGUCAGCCCACUUACCAGAUAUGUCCCCGCAUCGUCCCCAUCACGGAGUCCUCCUGCCGGGGCUGGACUGGUGCCAGGACCCUUGCAGACAUUAAAGCCCGUGCUCUGCAGGUCCGAGGGGCGAGAGGCCACCACUGCCAUCGAGAGGCGGCCACCACUGCCAUCGGAGGUGGGGGUGGCCCGGGUGGAGGUGGCGGCGGGGCCACCGAUGAGGGAGGUGGCAGAGGCGGCGGCAGUGGUGAUGGUGGUGAGGCCUGUGGCCACCCUGAGCCCCGGGGAGCCCCGAGUGCCCCUGGAGAGCGUGCGUCAGAUCUACAGCGAACACAACUACUGCCGCCUUGUCCUCUAAGUGGGGAUCAUGCCCAGGCCGAAACUGCCGUGUCCAGAGCCAGGAGAGAGGACCUGGCUUCUCUCGGAAAGGGGAAGAGCUGCCCACUGCAGAAGGUCCUAGAUGGCCCCAACAGCGGGCUGGAAGAUGCCUUCCAACUCCCCGUUGUACCCACUCGGGACCCGCCAUGCCAGGCUUUGCCCCCACUGCCCUCUAGAAUCCCAGAACCUGAGAGGUUAGUUGAGCAGCUUGUGUUGCAUCCAGAAGGUAGAACUGAAUGCGGGUCUGGUACCACUGCCUGGGAAAGGGGUGAUGAGGAGCCAGCACCUACGAUCCCCUCAGAGAACAGUCCUGUUCGGGCUCUGGAGAGGCCUAUUGGAUUAGAAGAAGGAACUGGCCAGGCUCCAGACAGCAGCAGUAAUCCCACCAUGAAGGAUCUUGUGAACGUGACCCCCAGUUCCAUCCCCGAAUCAUCCUUGGCCAGUUGCCUGCAAGACAGACUAUUUGAUGAUGAAUCAGAACUUGAUGACUCUGGCCCACCCACAAGAGAAAGUGCUUCUAGACAGGAAAACUUGAAAACUGAGGCUCCUGUCUCCCCUGGUGCUGCUCCUUGGAGGCCUGGCCUGUCAAAUGACGAGGCAGCAGGACAACCUGAGCCCGACUCCAGAGAAGAGGUCCCAUCCGCUAAGUCCCAGGUCAGAGAGAAGUGGGAGAAAGCGGCCCCCCUCAUCCCGGCAUCGCCUGCGGGCUUGACAGCGGAGGAGGGUCUGGAUCCGCCCGUCUGCUUGGCUUCACUCUGGACAGUGCCCUCUGGCUGUGUUGACAGUGGCGGCAGCGACUGCAAACAGCUGGACGGUGACAAGCCCAGAGUCAAUGGAGACUUGGAAGCCCUGAGUCCUCACAGCGAGUCCACAGACACCGCCUCUGACUGUGAGGGCCACCUCUCCGAGGACAGCAGUGAGGCCGAGCCUAGUGCAGCCUUGGGGCUGAAGAGGUCCUUGGUGGCAGAGCAGGGUGAGAAACACAACCGGAACCGCUGUGCCUCGCUCUCCAAGGUGAAUGGCAACCUGAGUCUGGUCCCCAGGACAGAUGGGAUGGUUGCUCCUCAGAGCUGGGUGUCUCGAGUAUGUGCAGUUCCCCCAAAGAUCCCGGACUCCCUGCUGCUGGCCAGUCCCGAGUACCAGCCGAGACCCGUGUCCCUGGGCAGGCCCACGUCCUCUGUGGAGGCUGCUAACCCCCUUGUGAUGCAGUUGCUGCAGGGCCACUUGCCCCUCAAGAAGGUUCUCCCUCCAGCCCACGGCGGCAGCAAACCCGAGCCCCCACGACUCCCACUUACAGCAGAGCAGAGCCCUGGUGGCUCCCUGGGGGUGGGAUCAUUGCAGGAUCCUGGGGAGAACAGGUGCGGAGUUGGCAAGAGCAGUCCAGAGUCUCUGCUACCUGAGAGCUGUGAAGCAAGUACCGGCUUUGCCCGGCUGGAGGCCAGCCAGGCUCCUGGGGCACCUCUAAAGAUGUCCAAGAACGCCCCAAGUUUAGACUCUCUAUAUCCAGUGACCAAUCCAGUGGCUGCCUCUGGAAAAGCAGAAGUGGAUUUCAAAGAGCAGUUACCUCCCUUCAGCUUUGAAGAUCAGAAGGAGAACAGAAAGGCAGUGGGGCCUGGUCCCCGGGAUCUGGUGGAUCACUUGCAAGGGAUGCCCUUUGUCCUUGAUUUGCCUUUCUGGAAAUUACCCCGGGAGCCCGGGAAAGGGCUCAGUCAGCCUCUGGAGCCUUCUUCCAUCCCCUCCCAACUCAACAUCAAGCAGGCAUUUUAUGGGAAGCUUUCCAAACUCCAGCUGAGUUCCACCAGCUUUAAUUAUUCCUCCGGCUCCCCCCCCUUUCCCAAAGGCCUGGCCGGAAGUGUGGUGCAGCUGAGCCACAAAGCAAACUUUGGUGCAAGCCACAGUGCGUCCCUCUCCUUGCAAAUGUUCACCGACAGCAGCACAGUGGAAAGCAUCUCGCUCCAGUGUGCGUGCAGCCUGAAAGCCAUGAUCAUGUGCCAGGGCUGCGGCGCGUUCUGUCACGAUGACUGUAUUGGACCCUCAAAGCUCUGUGUAUUGUGCCUUGUGGUGAGAUAAUAAAUUAUGGCCAUGGGAAAAGUUGUAUAUUUAGUGUGUGUAUUUUGAUAAUGAUGGAUCUUAAAUCUGUAUACAGAAUAUCAUUGAUAAAACAGACUCUGUCUCUCUAGGCAAGAGUUCUCUUGCUGCUCCCUGAAAUCUACAGUGCUAAAGCCCCUUGGCCACUUGUCGGCCCUUUGGGUCUUGCUGGAAGGGUUUCCUGCAGGGCAGCUCGCUGGGCUGCCUAAGGCCGGCCAGCUAGCCCGAGCUCUCGUCACAGAGACAGAGCCUGGUGCGAUGUGGGGGAGCCUCCCUGAGACUUGGAGGGUCUUGAAACUGAAGCGAGAAGGUUGUGUUCUCCACCCAGGGGACUAACCUACCCGAACUGAGUAGAAAUGUCAGUCUUCCACUGCCCCCUCCAUCUUUCCUGCGGCUGCUCCUCUGGGGAGUUGAUGGGGAAGAAGCCAGCACAGGGUUAAAGCAGCUCCCAGCAGUGCCCACCAGGGGGCUUAAGCACCUGCUGACCUCAGGGUCACAGCCAGUCAUUUGCCAGUUGAUGGAGCCAGUGUGAUCUUCGGUUCUGUUGCUGAGGCCAGUUUGCCCUGUCUCCGAAUAACCCACUUGCCUGCAGGAGCUUUCGGAACCUCGAACAGACCUUCUUGGACAACAGGUCAGGGCUAGGAUUGUCUUUCCUCCUUGUAAGUCAGGUGUCCAGACGUUUGGCAGGUGAAUUCAUCUGUGCAACAGCUUGGGCAUCACUUUGGACUCUGUGGGAGUGGGCAUCUCCAACACACCUGUGUAUGUGAAACUCAUUUUACAUUUCAAAGCAGUGUGUUUUUCUUAUUUUUAUAUUUUUAACUCUUUAUCCUUGGAUGUAUAAAGUGAACUUUUGGCUUCUGUAAGUAUGCUCUAUGCACCUCUGAUGUUUUACCAUAUAUUUAUAUGUUGUACACAGUACUGGCCGAUUCUGUAAAUGGAUGUAUUGUACAGAGAACACGAACGACUCUCCCUUAUUUCGCGU